GCAUGAAAUACAAGGUCAGAAGAGACCUAGG
rnacentral:piRNA from 1 species